UUGACCUCGGAUCAGGUAGGAAUACCCGCUGAACUUAAGCAUAUCAAUAAGCGGAGGNAAA
rnacentral:rRNA from 1 species